UACGUAGGGGGCUAGCGUUAUCCGGAAUUACUGGGCGUAAAGGGUGCGUAGGUGGUUUCUUAAGUCAGAGGUGAAAGGCUACGGCUCAACCGUAGUAAGCCUUUGAAACUGGGAAACUUGAGUGCAGGAGAGGAGAGUGGAAUUCCUAGUGUAGCGGUGAAAUGCGUAGAUAUUAGGAGGAACACCUGUUGCGAAGGCGGCUCUCUGGACUGUAACUGACACUGAGGCACGAAAGCGUGGGGAGCAAACAGG
rnacentral:rRNA from 1 species